GAACUCCGCACAUUUCUCGGAGUAAACCUGGCGGACUGAUCACCCACCAGUGACUCCCCGUCACCGACCUACCCGACGUACCCUGUGCCCUGCAUGCUCGUUAAGCCGUUCACGGAUGUCUCGUUUCGUUCUCAGAAAGCUUUCAUCUCGUUCCAUUUGCAACUGUAACCUAAGUCAGUUUUCCGUCCUGCACUGUAAUCACCACCAGUGCGCCACCAGGCGGCCGUCCAGGGAGCGCCAGAGAGAGUGGGGGUGCAGUGAACACCCUGCACACAGCCAGUCAUCCUUCUCCUUUUUUGGAGCUUGAUUUUUGGAGAAAGACUAGAUUUGAAAAUCCAAAACUCUACUAGAGAUUUUGAAUUGGGUUUCUUACCUCUUAAGUUUGGCAUCCAGGGUUCAGCGGGGAACGGUCUGCGGUUCUCCUUCUUUAACACGUGUUCUGGAUCCGAGUCAUGGCACCAAGAACUGUUGUGAAAAAACACGUGUAGACUUUAGGGUUAGGUUAGUAGAAGCUUUUAUUCAGAUCCACAGUGCCGUGGGGGAGAGCUCAGAGUAACAUGGAUUCACUAGCACUCCAGGGAGGUCUCCACCUUUAAACAGAACUGUGCAGUUUAUAUAAGCUUUUAAAUGGACUGUUACACAGCACGUGAUGGCAAAAAUAAAAUUCUCUGAGUAAGCACUCAAAGACAACUAGCAAGCACUCUGUUAUCUCAGGCAGAACAGGCACAUACUUUUUUUUCUGCUGUCUUCAAGGCUGCAGUGAGUGUAGCAGUUGCAGGGGAGUUACAAAGAACAAACACUUUCCCUUUGUCUGCUCUAAUAUGCAGAGCCAGCAAUUCCCCACAAAGCUGUUAUGGUCAUCUUACCAUAUGAACAAAGUUUUAAAGCAUUCAUUUUGUCUGAUUCCACAGCUGGUUGUUGUAAAUGACCAAGGACCCUCCCAUUAAUAUUAAAGACUAAGACAUGGCAGGUGAGAAGAGGGCCAAACCUUGUAAGUGUGACACACUGAGGACGAAUCUGUCCACUCCAACAAGUCAAUGCCCCAGGGGUUGGAGUGCACAUGCACGACAACAUAGUGCAUGCUGGCAGCACUACUCACAGAUGGGUUUGUUGGAAUAAAGGAAUAGUCUGACAGGAUAGAACAUGGACAGUUAUGAUGACUACAGGGAAAUCAAUCAAUGGUACUGGGAAUAAAGAGUCAUCAGAGGAGUGAAGUUAAAGAAAAAGCAUAAAAGGAGGCAGGAAGAAAAGUUAAGUGUGUGUCGUCAUCAUCAUCAGCAUCAUCUGACCAACAAUAUCUGAAUUGUGUCAGCCAGAAGAUCACCAAGACAACCAUUGUGCAUCUUCAGAACUACUGAUUGGCCAUUGGUACCUAAGGUGGAGAAACCUUGGAGUGGGUGAGAACAUUGAUUUAUAUGUUGUUUCUCUCUGUAUAGAAAUUACCAAUAUAACUUUUUAUGUAUUAAUAAAGAGUUAGAUUUUAGUUAAGUUUAAAUUGGUGUUUUGCUUAUUCCAUGUUCACUCUGCGUUGGUUGAGAUUAGCAAUCCUUUAUCACGAUCUGCUGGACAGAUUGGUGUGGUAACAGAUUCCACCUUCCUGGAAGUCUAAGUCCUCUUCCUUCUCUAGCACUGUCUUUCCUCCACAGUCCUAGAGGUCUCCUCCAGCAUGGAGUCAAUGAAGCCCUCAUGACAGAGGAUGCUUUGGACCCUUACCACCUCUGGUAGUUCUCUUGCCUGCUCCCUGAGGGACACCAUGAGGAGGCAUUGUUCACAUCACUGGCAUGCCCCCACUUGGCUGACACUGGAAGGAACCUGCAAGCUGCAGUCUCCUCAGCAUCAAACCAGGACCUGUGUGGAAACCUUAAUGGAAAUACCAUGAAAACCUGGGUGCUGCUGCUGAUGGGGCUAAAUUGGACUUGGGGAGCACUUGAGCUACCUGGCUGGUGGAAAUCAACCUCGCAUGUGCUGCCUCUUAAGGCUACAUGGCCCAAUGCUUCUUGCCCCCCUAUGGCUCACCAAGGGUAUGUGUCUGAAGUGUUUCUGUUACACGCCUGGAAUUCCAGUGACCACCAAACCUGGCAGCUGGCGGAUACUACCAGCAGUCUGUAUGGAGCGCAUUGGUGUGUAUAGAUCAACACAAUGAGAUUGAAGGGAGCACAGCUGUGGGGUGUUACCCACCAUGGAGUACACAUAUUGGAUCCAAAGGAGAACGUUACGUUCCAAUACAAGGUGACUGUAGCCCUGGGUACCAAUUGGACUCUAUUGGCCAAUGAUGACGAAUACAUCACUGAGAUUGAGGAGCACCAAAUUCUCGGAGUGGAAGGCACUUAAGAUCAUGCCAUGCGCGAUGGACUUCAAAUACAUUUUGUGCUUGUAUUUUCUAAUAUUGUGGAAUCAUUAGAUUGUGAGCCAGGAAGGCAUCCCAUCUCUGCAGAGGUAUGGGAGGCCUUGUGUGGACAGGCAGAAUUUCCUCAUCUUAACUCAGGACAAAUACAAGGGUUGCGAAACGGAGUGAAAAUCUCCUUCUGGAUUUUGGUAGGUCCCACCUUCCCAGAAAAGAUUCCUACAGUUUGGGGAAUUAGGGUCCCAGAAAACUUUGUUGUAUUCCCCUCACUGUUCUUGGAAAAAUUUGUAGUCUUGCAAUGGGAAAUUAAUGUUACCAGGACACAUCCGUGGUGCAAGACACAUCCAUGGCGCAGCAAAUGGGCAGAUCCCAUUCUAUUGGCCUGGCUUGGAAAUUCUGAAUUGCAUAGGAAAUUUUGUAGAGAUGCAGCAACCGUCCUGGGUUCAGUGGGAAGUGCCAGAGCGGUGCUUAACCAAAUGGAUAUAGAGGUAGUGCGAAAUAAGCUUGCUAGGAUGGAACAACUCACCUGCCAAGCAUUAAAAGGUCAAAUUGUGGCUAACGUGGAAUAUCAAGAGAAUCACGUUAACAGUGGCCGUACAACCACUCAAGCAGCUAUAUUCCAUUAUGCAUUCAGUGUUAGAAGGAAUGAGAGACUUAGCCAAUGAAACAGGUUCCACCAUAUCUUGUGUAAUUAUGCAAACCUUCGUAUUACACCAAUAUGAAAAACAGGCACUUUGGAUUAAGUCAGGGGAUCCAGCAGUUAUAUCCAAUUCCUAUGCAGAAUGGUAUCCCGAAUGUAAAACCCUCUGUGUGAAGGUCAUCUCCUCUGGGAUUAACAAGACCUUGAAAGAAUAUAUUCAUGUGAGAUGGGUGGAGGUGGAGACCAAAACCUGGCCCCUCUAUGAAUAUGUCCCAAUCCCUAUAGUGUUGACGGGGAGGGUUUGGGCCCCCAGUUCCCCUGCUAAAUGGGUGACUCAUACAAAAGAGCUCCUAGAUCCCAGAGGGUGCGAACAAUGGGGCCGUCAUGAAUGGAUGUGCUAGCAUGAAGAUUUCCUAAUGGACCCUUGUUGUCUACAUCAGGAUAGUGUGGGCAACUGUGUUAGAUGAAAUCUUUAACCAAACCACUGUAGUAGUGAACAAUGCCAUUGGGUGUCUAUGUGUUGCUUCAGUGACCCCGGUAACUUGAAACGAAGGGAAUGUUUCCCAGGCCCCAGUUAGAAAGUGCCAUUGCAAUGCCACCGCUGUAGAAAGUGGAGGGCAUAUUUAUGCACAACCUACCUAUUUGUGUUCAUUAAGUUUAGCCAAGGUCUUCCCGGUGAAUUGGACAAUGUCACUAGGCCCUUCUUGGGAGGCUGUCUAUCAGAAAUUAGGGAAAUUAGAAAAGAUGAUUAGCAGUUCUGCUACUGCUUUGAAUAAGGAAAAACAGGCAAGCCUACAUAUAAUACAUCAAAAGGAAAAACUUUUAAAGUUAACUGCCGAGUUAAAAUCAGUGUCUGAACACCAUUGGUAUGACAUUUUCUUAGGUUAUAGCCCCACCUGGACUGGGUUGAUGAACUUUGUGCUACAUUCAGUAGUUAUCAUGUUGCUGUGCAUUGGUAUCUUAUGCUGCCUUAUGUGUAUGCUUACCUGCUAUGCCUGAAGAUUAUAUGGGAGAGUGCAGGGCCUGAUGGACUAUGUUGAUGGUUAUGUAACCCUGCGAAAUUUUGAUCGGCAUGAGUACACGCAGAUGCAACCAGUCAGGGAGGGAUUGUAAGGCCCAUCCCGAAAAGUGUUCUGGGAGGAGGCUACGCUGGCAUCCCGGAGGGGAGGUCAGCCUUGUGGAAUCUAGGAGCCACAGGAUAAUGACCUAAUGCAUAUGCUGUUCUUUGGAUAAGAUUAGAAAGAGGAACUGCUCUUGCCUGACACAACGGCUCUGGAAAGAGGAACUUCGAAAUGACAGCUUUGCAGCAUGCAACAAUAGCUUUGCUCUAAUCUAUAAAAGGUAAUAAGGCUAGAAGCUACUUUCGUUUAAAAACCCAAAGAGAUAGAAAGCGGGAGUAAAAAUAUAAAAGUCAUGAAAACUAGGCCCUUGGAGGAAUCACUUCAGGGAAGGACAAGGCUAAGAACCCCAUAAAGGAGACCAUCUCACCACCCUGGACACAGGGUGGGGUUCCCAAGACAAGUCAGGUAAUGACUUAGGACAGGGUGGGGAGUGCCUUUCCUCCAGCCCAACGCACUAGUGGUUUUGUAAGCCCUUGUAUUAAGUUGCUGCCAUUAAACCAUUUUGCUGUUACCCACAAUAAAAGUUAUAAUUGUUGCUUUGACCCUGGCGUGUGACUUGUGGGUCACUCACCUUCCCCCUUUGGAAGGGAGGGACCCCUGACACCAUGUUCCAGCAUGGUAUGGUCCCUGCCCUCCAAUGUGCUGCAAGCAUCAGUCUUAGGCACCUCAGGUACAGCAUAGAUCAGGGGUGGGCAACACUUGUGGGCAGAUUGCCAAAACACCCACAACUUUGACAUGUAAGAAGUUGGCAUGCCAGGGCAGAUGGUGGAGGAACUGUGAGGGGCCCAAUCUUUGUUAUGGAAGUGCAGCCCUGGCCCCUUCUCCACUCUGCCCUGAGGCGUACAUGCCAAGCAAAAUGCCUUUGCGUGCACCACUCUGGUACCCAUGCCAGCAGUUGCCUUCCCCUGCCAUAGAUGUUUCCUACUGAAUAGGCCAAUUUGUUAUACAUUCAUGAUAGGCAUACGCCCAUCAGAAACUCCUAAACAGGAAUAAGUGUAACUUCUUUUGUGCAGUGUUCUGGGUGGGCUAAGUUGCCUUCAUGAAUGACAAUGCAGUUAGCAUGCCCAUGACAAGGAGAAAUUCAGCUACAUUGCAUACAGUUUAAGAGGUGCCAGAGCAGUGUAUUAAGUGUGCGACUGCUAGGUACAGUCAGUUUACUGUUCAGAAGUAAACAUGGGUGACUGGUGCCUCCAGAGUCUGGGGUGGGCACCAGCAGCCCAUGGCUGACCAGGGUGGGGAUUCCCCAUCAGCCGAUUGCCAACCCUAGAAGCACCGGCAGCAAAAGCGGAAAUGCCGCUGGUGCUACUCCUGGCGCCAAGCUCACGGGGGUCACCGGCCAGCACUUCACUCGGCGCCCCCACUUCCCAGCUGAUGAGGGCCAAUCUUAGGGGGCCCCCCCCCCUGUAUCCCCUCUCAUGUAGCCUCUGGAAGUAAACUUUGUAUUCAGUCCCAAGUCAGAAGUCAUACUGGGAUUGUGUGUUCUUGUCUAUGGCAGGUUAGGGUGUUAGGUCUUGUGUUAUGUCAGGAUUGACUGUUUUGCUCAGAGGUUAGACAAUGAUUUUGUAAAGAAUGGUUUGGACUAUCACUAGAUGACCUGUGGAGGUCCCUCGCAGCCCUCCUUCCCUAUGAAUCUGAUGGCUAAUGUCGCAGCGUAAGAUGCUGAAUGUACAAGGCUGGUAAAAUUUUGAGUAGACCAUCUUAUUCUGAAUCUUCUGGGUUUUCUAAAGGAUUGCAUAUUUUCCUCCCUGUAUAUUAGGUAAAAGAAAGGGAACUCAAACAAUUUCAUUUUAAAUAGGAAUUUUCCUUUGAUUCCCUUGUGGCUAGAAGCAGAGAAGCUUGAACUAAUAGAUGUUUAUUCUCAGUGUUCUGAUUGUUGUUCUGUAGGGCCAGGCCAACUCCCAGGAUCUCAAAAUUGCACUGUUAGAUGGAAGGGUGUGACACAAUUGCACAUAUACACACACAAAAAUUACUAGGCACAUACACACACUGGGCGCAUGCACACACUAGGUGCACACACACACACUACCAACUCAGGUACAUGCACAUCCAAGAUUACCAGUCUAAGCACAUGCACACCUAUCACCAAUUCAAGCCCCUACACACUAUACACACCAAAAGUUAGACAAAAAUCAUUGUCAGUACUUGCACACUCAAUACACAUACACGGAUUACUAAUCCGUAUAUCAUGCACAUGAUGAUAGAUAGAUAGAUAGAUAGAUAGAUAGAUAGAUAGAUAGAUAUGCCAGUUCACACACACACACACCACACACCUACACAUACACACAGGUAAGUUCCUGACUUGGGUGGUGUGGUAUGUAUGUGUGUGCUUGGUGUACUUGGGGUACCUAGAGUGCUUGGUGACUCUGGGAGGGGGAAUCAAGGGUCAAAGAUUUCCAGAAGGAGGGGAAGGAGUGAGAUGAAUGGGGGUUAAGAUGAGAGAGGGAAAAAUAAGAGAGUGAAAGUGCCAGGAGUGAAAGCUUCUGGGGCCAGGAUUAGAACCAGCAGGCUGGAGGGAGCUGUGGUUACUUAAGGUCAUGUGGCCCCAGGGUUACUCAAGGUCACUGGGACUUGGGGUUACUUAUGGUUAAUGUGCCUCAGGGUUACUCGGGGCCACCAGGUGCUGGGGUGGAAGCAAGGCCCCAGGGUUACUUAAGGUCACUGGGACUUAGGGUUACUUACGGUUAAUGUGCCUCAGGGUUACUCGGGGCCACCAGGUGCUGGGAUGGAAGCAAGGGAAAAAGCCUGGUGGUAAGGAGGAGAGGGCGUGAGAGCCUGGAAACUGAGGAGAAGAAGAAAGCUGGGAGAUCAGGGGGGCAGAUAAGUGGUGGCAAGGAGGAGACAGCCAGGAAACAGAGAGGCAGAAAGCUGAGAGAUGGCUGGGAAAUCAAAGAGGAGGGCUAGGAGGUCAAUAAGACAAAAACCCAACUCAGGGUUUCAAAAUAACAGGCUUAUUAAACAGAAACACACUACACAGCUCCACAAAAUUAUUGGUUCCUACACACACAAGCACUCACAUACACACCCACACAAUGGUAGCAGGAGAGAAAAAGGCUUGGUGGAGGGAUUGAAGCCAAGGUGUGUAGGGACAGAGUCCAGGUCCUUUGCUUGGGUAAGAAAGGUGGGUGAUAGCUACCUAUCCUGGGCUGUGAGUUGAUCCUCAAUGGCCAGUCAGGAUCUUCUCCAGCAAGGUGUUGUCCAGAGGGGGUUGCUGGCAGGGUCUCUGGGUGGAUAGGUGGUGUGGCGUGGUGCUGGUCCAGAUGGAGAGGACAUCCCACUGGGUCUGUCUUCACUACCCCUUUUUAUAGGUGCAGACCUUCUAUUACCCUAGUGACAGGGUCAUGCCCAGACAAAGGUCAGCCCUGGUAUACUGAGCAUGUGCACUCCAGGGAAGGACAUGCAGUUCCAGGUAUCUGUGUUGCAACAGUGGGUUGGGCUGAUUUUUGUAGGGUCUUUGUCUUUCAAAUGCUGGGUCCAUGGUCCCUGGGUGAGUCAAUGGAAGGCAAUGGUCCAGUCGUUGAGUUGAUUAUUCAGUAGAGGCCUGCUACCAUUGUAUCUCAAGCACCCUCAUUCAUUCAGGAACCAAUUUACAUGAGACUGGUUAGACAUGAGACAUAGGUUACAACCGGGCAGAGGACACAAGAUGGAGGCUUGACAUUCAAAAUGGAAAUCUGACAUUACUUGACAUUACUUAUGCUAACUUACACACGUAGGUCUAAAUCAUAUAGUAUCAAUUAAAAAAAAACCAGUAAAAAUCAGUAAAACAUAAUAAUUAUACAAUAUAAAACAGUGGACCAAAGGAGAGAGAGAAGAAAAAAAAACUUGUUACAAAAAUGCUAAAGCUUAUCCAUGUAUUUCAUAGAUUUCAUAGACAUUAGGGCUGGAAAGGACCUCGGAAGAUCAUCGAGUCCAGCUCCCCGCCCAAAGGGUAGGAAGUCAGCUGGGGUCAUAGGAUCCCAGCAAGAUAAGCAUCCAAUUUACUCUUGAAGGUAUUCAAUGUAGGUGCUUGAACCACCUCGGAUGGCAGGCUAUUCCAGAUCUUGGGGGCUUGGACAGUAAAGAAAUUCUUCCUUAUGUCCAGCCUGAAACAGUGUUGCAGUAGUUUGUAACCGUUUGACCUCGUCAUCCCUUGGGGCGCUCUGGUGAACAAACAUUCCCCCAGAUACUGAUGGUCACCCCUGAUAAUCACCCCUGAGCCUGCACUUUCACCCCUGAGCCUGCGCUUAAUCCUAUGUCUUAGCUUACUCAUGCUUAUCUAUAGGGAAUAGAGAGGGAGAGAAAAAUUCAGAAAUAGUUGGGGAAGGGAGGGAAUGUAUUUAAAAAAAAAGUAAAAAGAAAAACUGGGGGUUUUGCUACAUGAUCUCAGUCCAAGCAAACUGGGGGCAGUCUACCAGUAAUGGAGUUGUGGCCAGAACACUAAUGCCCUCCAACUCCUUUAUUUUAAGGUCGGGUAAUUUUUUUUGCACUGCAUUGUAUCUACAACCCUUUCUUUUGGUUUUGGGCAGUGCGCUUUUGCUUUGCGUUCUUUUUGUUUUCAGGUUCUACAUGUCCAGCUCUACGAAGCCAACAGGCAUCCUUCCUAGAUACAAACUUGCAUUAAUUCUAACUUGGCAUUGUGAUUGUGUGGGUCACAGCAGCUGCAUUCCUAAAACUGCGUGUAAUCUUAGGACUAGACUAAAGAUAGCAGAGGGUUUUUUUGUUUCGUUUUGUUUUUUUAACUUGGCUCUUGGGUGUCCAGACACGGUGCAGGGUUCACAAUUUUGAUCUGUUGGCUAUAAACUAGAGCAUCCCCUGGCCUAGCUAGUGUUUGUCCGUGCUCAGUGGAUCGGAAGGGAAGAAAGUUCCAGGGUUUGUGAACUUUUGAACUGUCUUGAUGUAAUGACAAAGUUUUACACCUGAGCAUGCCCAGCUGGUUCAAGUUAAGUAACCUGGUUUGGGCAGGAAACAUGCGUUUACCUGAGUGAUUGACAGCUGAAUGCUGUGUGCAUAAGAGAGUGCCAUGUGAAAGGGCAUGAAUGUCAUGUGCACAGAUAUUUGAUUGGCUGUCUGGAUGACUGAUAGGUGUCAGUGGAGUAUGGGUAUAAAAGGUAACAGAUCUAGAGAACCUGUGUUCCCUGCAUGAAUGAGUGCCUGGAGGAGAAGCCAGGGUUAUUGUGUGUGGGUAUCUGGAGUGUGCCUGGAGCACCUGAGACUAGAGGGCCCAGAGUAGCCAAUAGCUGGCAUGGUCCAGUGGCAGGGAAUUGUGGGUAUGCAGAGUGAGGGUCCAGGGGACCAAAACCUCUUUGUGUAUGUAUGGGUUUGCAGGGUGAAGGACUAGGGAAUGGAGAUCUCUGUGGUGUGACAGUAGAGUGGAUCUGUAUGUGAGUGGUGCUGCUGCAGUGAUUGCUGCCUGCACAUGAGGGUCUCAGUAAUGCCAACUCUCAUGAAAGAAUCGCGAGACUCCCAACUUCUAAAUCAAAUGAACUCUAUAACUCAUAAUCUUGGGAUACAACCUUCAAAUCUUGGAUGUUUUCCUUCUAGCACGUGUAGAGAGUGCCCAACUGGUAAGUCUGUGGAGGGGAAGGGGCUGGUGGGGCAUAUUGAGGCCCCCACGGUGAGGGAGGGAGUGGGGAGGAGCUAGGGUGAAUGGGGCCCUGGGGCUGGGGUGGGUUGUGCUGGUGGGCAGCUCGUCCAGAGUGGUGGGGGCACAGCUCCUUGCUGCAGCGCACACCACUGGGAGAGAUACGGGGGGCAUGUGGCCCCUGGAUCUGUGUGGGGCAGAGGCAGGCUGCCUGUGCUGUACGCUUGGGCUCUGCAUCCUGCCGCCUUUGCCCUGGGAGCUGCGUGAUGCCGUGUGUACCUCCUGCUGCCUGCUGGGCAGGCCCAGCGCAAGGCUCCCAGGAAAAGGAGCAGGGACUGGGGUAAAUGGGGCCCUGGGGCUCUCUGCAUCCUGUGGACAGCUUGUUCAGAGGCACAGAGGGCAGGGGUGUGGUUCCCUGCCAUAGUGUGCACCCCUGGGGGAGGCAUGGGGGCAUGUACACCCUGGAUUUGUGCACGGGGCAGAGGUGGGCUGUCCACUGUGGGCUGGGGCUCUCUGCACCCUGCUCCCUUUGCCCCUGGAGCUGUGCCUCCUGCUGCCUACUAUGUUGCCCCAGGAGUCAGGUGCUGGCCGUGGUGCGCGUCCCCUGCCCGCCCAGCAGGCAGCAGGAGGUAAACUAGCAUUUCACAGCUCCCAGGGCAAGGGCAGCACAUCACAAAGAGCCCUAGCCCACAGUGGGCAGCCCUGCCUCUGCCCCUUUCUUCUUCCUCCAGCCCCUUCCCCUCCAUUUGUGUGCUCUGUGUGUGUGUGUGUGUGUGUGUGUGUGUGUGUCUCUGCCCCUCACACCCAAGCCACAACCCUCCCAGCCCUGCGGCUGCCCCUUACUCCUGACCCACAGUACCCUACAUUCUGCCAGGGUGUGUGAGGACCUCCCCACCCCCGCAACACACACACAGCCUCCCACACCUUCACAAAUAACACCCCCUCCCCCCCGGCACAUAUACGCAUACUUCAAAACAUAGCAUCUCAUGAUUUACAUUUCAAAUCUCUUGGUUUUUAAGAGGUUGUCUUAUGAUUUUUGACAUGGUGAGAUUGGCAAUUAGGGUGGCAAUCAUACAGGAUGUUCCGGUUUUCUGCUACUCUAUCCUCUAUUCAUAUAAAACCCGAUGCCUUUACGUCCUCUAGUUUUCUUUUGGACAGAGGACAACCAGACUGUCCUCUAUGAUGGCCACCCUAUUGGCAAUACUGGAGUCUGCUUAUGCUCUCAAGCACCCUCUCUUGAAUAAGUAUUGAUUGUUGUAUUAUUGUUGUUUGUAUUGUACUAGUAUUGGAUUAUUGUUGUUCUUUAAUAUAAUUAUUCUUACUCCUUCA